rnacentral:rRNA from 1 species
ACUGCUCAGUAACACGUGGCUAACCUACCCUUGAGACGGAGACAACCCCGGGAAACUGGGGCUAAUCCCAGAUAGAUGAGAACUCCUGGAACGGGUUCUCGUCCAAAAGGCGUCUAGGUCAUGCUUCUAGGCGUCGCUCAAGGAUGGGGCCGCGGCCGAUCAGGCUGUUGGCGAGGCAACGGCUCACCAAACCUUUAACCGGUACGGGCCGUGGGAGCGGGUGCCCGGAGAUGGGAACUGAGACAAGGUCCCAGGCCCUACGGGGCGCAGCCGUUGCGAAAACUCGUCAAUGCACGAAAGUGUGAACGGGCUACCCCGAGUGCUGUCCGUUGAGGAUGGCUUUUCUCUGCUGUAAGGAGGCGGAGGAAUAAGGAGAGGGCAAGUCUGGUGUCAGCCGCCGCGGUAAUACCAGCUCUCCGAGUGGUGGGGAUGUUUAUUGGGCCUAAAGCGUCCGUAGCCUGCCCUUCAAGUCUUUCGUUAAAUCCAGCGAUUCAAUCGUUGGACUGCGGGAGAUACUGUUGGGCUAGGGGGCGGGAGAAGCCGACGGUAUUUCCGGGGUAGGGGUAAAAUCCUAUAAUCCCGGGAGGACCACCAGUGGCGUAGGCGGUCGGCUAGCACGUGCUCGACGGUGAGGGACGAAAGCUGGGGGAGCAAACCGGAUUAGAUACCCGGAUAGUCCCAGCUGUAAACGAUGCGGGCUAGGUGUUGGAGUGGCCACGAGCCACUUCAGUGCCGCAGGGAAGCCAUUAAGCCCGCCGCCUGGGGAGUACGGCCGCAAGGCUGAAACUUAAAGGAAUUGGCGGGGGAGCAC